AUCCCGAUCCCAAGCACCAUGGAGCCGACGAUUUGGAUCAAGACCUACAUCCCAAGCACCAAGGUGCCUGGUUGAUAUGGAUCGCGAUCCCGAUCUGGAGCUCCAGGGCGCCGAGGAUUUCGAUCACGAUCCCGAUCUGAAGCACCGAGUAGCCGAGGAUAUGGAUCAAGACCCCGGUCCGAAGCGACAAGGAGGCAAGGAUUUGGAUCACCACUCCGAUCAAAGGCACCAAGGCGUCGAGGGAUUGGAUCGAGAUCCCGAUCCCAAUCAUGAAGUUGGCUAUGUAAUUUCCUGUUUUCCACACCGUUCAGGGCAUUUUGGUGGUCGUAUCGGCUUUUAGUUGCUUGCUUGGUGUUAGUGCCAAGGGAGGGGUUGGAAGCUAGGUCGUCCUCUGGAAUGCUUGUUGUAAAGGUGUAUGAGUUGUGUUUGGCUUGUUACGGGUGUUUGUUGGCUGCUUGUGCAGGAACUUUCAUGCGUCCAAGCCUCUUCAGUUGUGCUACAAGGCCUUGUUUGUCUUGUGCAUACGGUGGGUUUCCUGUGUUGCAUACCUAAUCAAGGGCAUCGUAUGGCUUAAUCGAAGUAAAUAUUCGUAAUGCGCCGCUUGCGGCGUUGCACGAACCUCGAAGUGGUCUCUGUGGCCCAUGUUGUCUAUGCUCACGUAUGGAUGGCAUGGCCCUCGGAGCGUCGCUUGGUCUCUUGGAUACGGAACCUGAUGAUGUGGGCGGUAGGGUCUUGGAUGAUUCUACCUUCGC
rnacentral:misc_RNA from 1 species